AUCAGCUAAAACAAAAAUCCAACAAAAGGAUAUCAACUGUUUGUUCUCUGCAAACAAAAAAUAAUUCUCCAUUGACAUUUUCUGUCUAAAUGUUUGUAGGGUUUUCAGUUGGGGGAGGGGCUAGAUUGUUUAUUUAUUAACUUUUCAUAACAUGCACACCAAUGGAAUGAUACUUGACACAGAAUAAAAAUACUAUAAUGAUUUUUAAAAGUUAAAAAAUUCCAUAUAGUCCUUGACAACUAUUAUAGGAUAGGGAAAAUGGUCUUUUUGCCUAAUUAAUGCUAAAAAUCAACAAGAUGCAAACCAAUUUUUUUCCUGGGUUUGCUGUUUUAACAGCAGGCUGAAGAUGAGUAUUAGGGCCUAAUCUUAUCUUGAAGACAUUAGACCUCUUCAAUGAAAUGAACUGAAGAAUAAAUGGAAAAUCUAUGCUGCUCUAAGCUUUUUACAUUUUCUUUUCUUUCAAGAAUGAAUUAGACAAACUUGGCAAGAGUCUUGAUUCAUAGAUGAACUUCUUUCUGUGCCCAUCAAUGCUUCCCUUCAGAGUGACUCCUCUUUUUGGUUCAUCAAACAUUAAAAACAAAUGCCAGCUGCCAAGCUUUCAUCUCAUUUGACAGAUUCUGCAGUCUGUACUUUAUUUUAAUAAGGGCUCAGUCUAAUUCCUAUUGAAGAUAGAUUAUUCACAGACAAUGCAACAUUUACAAUAUAAAGAAGGAUAUAUGAGUUGUUUUUCUUUUUCUCUGAGAAAAAGAACAUUGAAGACAGUUAUCCAAGUCUUCUGAAAUACUUUUGAAAAAUUUUUUCAGGUUCAGUGGGUCUUGGGUGUCUGCAGCUCUAAUUUUGGUUAUAUUUUCUUUGUCUUCUUACACAGUGAUAUAAUAAAAAUUUCUGUACUGAAGACAGAGCUUGCCUUUUUUUUAAGCAGCCCCCUAUUUUAAAAGUCCUUAAAUGCUCAUUAUUGACUUCUGAGAUGUUAUAAUUCAUACAGCUGUCUAUGUAACUUAAGUUUUUUCUGUGCACGUAAAGCAAACUGUAGUCAUUGAACUUCUGAAAGCAGAAAAAUCCUGAGUCUUGAUGCUCAUAAAGUACGUAAUUUAGCUCAAAGCAAAUACUUGCUUAAAAUUCCUGAACACAACAGAAAAUGGAGUUAAUCAUUGGGUGAAGCUAAGUUAACUUGAGUUGCAAUGUCUAAGGCAGCAUUACUCUCAUUCUGUGAAAGCAGAAAAAGACAAUGGCAGUGUUUUGUAAUUGGAGUUUAAGGAAUGCUGCAGAUUUAGCCUGUUAAGGUGAAAUGAAUUUCACUGGAAUAAUAGUGAUAGAAUAAUAUUCUAAGUUUUUUUUUUCUAGUUCAGACCAUCUGAAAUUCUUCAGCAGAGCUUGUAUCAUAUUUCUGAAGAAAAGUUCCCCCCUUUCCCCUUGUCUGAAGUAAGAAGUGUUCUGGCUUUAUGGCUUUUUUCUGCUCACUAGUUAAAUACCUCUGACCAUGCAGCAAUUAACUAAAUAGUAUAUUAAAUAUUAUCACUGGUGGUGCUAAUGUGGCUGUCCCUAAGAACCAAACUGGAUCAGGGAAGGAAAGUGAGUAAAGAAAUUACGCCGUUUAAAUCCAAGUUGUUGUGGCAAAGAACUAAAACAUACCAGUAAUGAGAUUUAAUUUUUCAUAACUUAAUGCAAAAAAGAAAAAUAUGCUAAUUUGUUGACCAUAAAUAAUUUUAUGUAAAAAUUAAUUCCGUGAGUUGCAUGUAGGUGAUGACUGUCCUUGGUUAAGUGGUUCAGCUCCAUGUUUCAUUGCAGAUGUUACUACAAAAGCAUGGCAAUUCUCUCCACGUCUUACUGUUGGAACAUUCAGAUACAUUCUUUACAAUAAUGGUUAAAAUAAUACUUUGCUGUCCUACAGUGUCAAGUGUGAAAGUCAGUUACAUUUAAUGCAUGUAGAUAAAACUUGUGUACUUAAGUUUGAUUGAAAAUCAUUCUGUUUUGCUAUAGUUCUAAAAUAUAAGCUAUACCAACCUGAACUGGUAAACCAAAACAGGAUAAAUUGUGAAAUGAAGUGUUGUAAAAUGAAGGACAUAGCUCCUUGUGAGAAAAUGAAUCAAGCUCAAGGAGUACUUUAGAUUUUUAAGAUACAGAUAAUACAGAAAGUUAGUCCACAUAGCCAGAAAUAAAUUCAAUGAUGGUGCAUGUUAAAUCCUCUGAAAAGAUCUGAAUUGUGUUACUGGCACACUUUAUUCCAUCUUGUAUGCAGUGACUUCCCACACUGUCCCCCACCUACAGGUUAGUGUUUGUGUGUUUGUCCUCCCCUGCCCCACAGACUCGGGCUGUGUGAUUCCAUGAACUGCUUCCCACAUAAUUUAUACUGCUUUACAUUGGAAAUUGCAAAUUACUGCAUUACAGACAGUAAAGGAUUACUGUGUAGCAGGAAACUAGAUUUGUCAAAAAUCUCAGAGUGGAAGAUCCACAGAAAAGUUUCCCUCUAGGUCUAGAUGACUUCCUGUUUUUUUCAGAGUAUAAAAGGAGACAUCUGUUGGUCAUGGGUUUGCUCUGCUGCUAGAAGGCAUCACUAGUCUGGAUUAGGACCUGGUGGGCCACGCUCUACAAUCUGAAUACUAAAAAUAUGCAAGUUUUUAAAGAAUGUCACUACUCUUUCAAACAAGCUCCUAGAUCUCUGCAAGAUGCCAGUUGAUGGAAGACUAAGUAUUGCUGGAAAUGGCAUCUGUGAAAAGCUCAUGCCCCAGUCACUAGAAAGAUCCUAGAGAUUCUGAAACAGAGUUGACAAAAUCCAACAACGAAUAAGACUGCUUAAUUUCCAAGUCCAACACUGAAAUAUAAUAAAAAUUAAACAGCACAUCAUGAACCUAGAUCCUGGAUCAUAAUAUGUAAGUGUAAAGGGACUGAAGUAGGAUUGCCUUCAUCCCAUUUAUUUUGGCAUUCCCUAGAUUCUGAUUGCUUCAAAAUUUGAAACUUUGAUGAGAUUUUAAUGGAAAUUCCAGUUCAGUUUGAUGGAGGCUUAAUUUUUCCCACUGAGAUACAGAAUAAUACACUGGGGAGGGUGACUGGUCUUCGGAAAGGAAGAGUAGUCUAGCUGAGUAUUCUACUAACAGAAUAACAACUUAUCCUUUCUUGCAGCUGGAGGAAACUUGUAUCUCAUCUAGGUACAAGGAAGCACAAUUACCAAAAUGGCAGGGAGAAAAACAAUAAAACAAUAAAUACACAGAAAUAAAAAAGAAAUUGUCUGAUUUCACUUACUUUCAAAAACUUCCAAAUUCCUAGGUGUAACCUAUGCCUACCUCUCUUGCAUAAAUACUUCAUAGUCUCUCUUCAAUUCAAAAGUAAGUAACUACUUAAGUAGCUUACUCUGUAGCAGCUGUAAUUUUUCAUGAAGUUUAAGAAAAGAUUGAAUAUUGGAAACAGUCCCUCUAAGCAGCAUUAUUGUUACUACAAUUUCCUAAAUGUAACAGUUUAAUUCCCAAGAAAUCUUAAAAAUAUUUCUCAUAGUGACUAAAAACGCAGGAUACAAUAACGUGUAGAUCUGAUGGAUUCCUCUGACGUGUCUUUUCCAGUUGAGAUAAUUGCUUGGCUUCUCGGUUCUUUGCUGUUAAAGUUGCUUUAAGAUCAUCCUGGAAAUAAAAUGUUUUAGACAUAUAUGAAAUACAUCUAGGAUAAUACAAAAUAUGCUCUCCUUCAUACAUGCACUGCCUAGAAAACACAGAAAAAACUUCUGCUUUGAAUAAAAACAGACUUCAGUGAUGUGUUAAUUGAUCCUCUGAAAGUGAAGUCAGUAAAGACAGAGAGUUUAGCACCUUGUGCAAACCCCUAUAGCACACACUAUAAUUGAAAUGUGGGGAAGAAAAAGAUACUCACAGCUUUACAUGUAAAGUAUAGCAGAUGGUCACAAGCUGAGAUCCCCAAAGCAUUAAGAAGGCAGACUCAUUCCUGACUUAGCAAUAGAAUAUAUGUGGUAAUUAGAAAUAAAAAGCAGUAUCAAAUAAAGUGGCAUCAUUAAAAAAACCAAAAACCAAAGCAGGCAGCAGUCAGCACCAAGGCAAAGUUAUGAAGAAAAUAUAACUGCUGUCACCUGUCCACUGCUGGCAGUGGAACUGCUGAAGGGGCUGGAGCAGAAGUCUGAUGAGUGGCUGAGGAAGCUGGGAGUGUUUAGUGUGUUUAGCCUGGAGGAGGCUCAGGGGAAACCUUAUCACUCUACCUGGAAGGUGGCUGUAGCCAGGUGGGGGUUAGUCUCUUCUCCCACGCAACCAGUGACAGGAUGAGGACAUAUAAGUUGCACCAGGGGAGGUUUAGAUGAAAUAUGAGGAAAUUUUUUUCCACUGGAGGGAUGGUAAGGCCUGGGGAACUGAUGGAAUGACCAUUCCAGAAGUGUUCAAAAAAGGUGCUGAGACAUAGUUUAACUAGUGAGCAUAGUGAUGCUGGGCUAAUGGCUGGACUCAAUGAUCACAGAGGUCUUUUUCGACCUAAACAAUUCUGUGCUACAAGGACUAUAGGAAUUCUAUGACUGAAAGGGUUAAUAUGGCUGCAUAUUUAUAUAUAUACAUUUAGUAAAGUGUUUAAAUUCAUUUGAAAUGAAAUACAUCCAAGUAAUGAUGCAGCUGGAGAAGAUAAAACUUUACUGAUCUAGAAAAGGAAGAAACUGUUGAUAACCAUUUUUGCUCCAUGUCCAAAGGAGAAGUAGUAUGUACUUCUAGGAAGUAAAUAGGAAGAACUAUGACCUAUGACAAUUUAAGAAUGUUCAUCUACCGGUUUUCUCAAAUUUUUGUUCAUGUUAUAAAACUGUGUUUUGCAAACUGUUAGACAUUCAUGAACUGUAAAAUUAUCAGUCAAGUAUUUAUCACUCCACUUAUGCCAGUAUGGAAAAGGUCAUUAAUCUUGAUGGUUCUGGUUUAAAGGAGCAGUAGUUUAGAACAAGCAGAAAUACAAUGUAAGGUCUAACAAAGUCUGAGGCAGAACUAGGCAUGCAUUUCAAAUGACCUUUUACUCUAAAAAUAUGACUUCCUAUUUAUUUACUACUCCAGAAUGAAGUUAGAGCUAUUAGAAACUAUCAUAUUGGGAAGUUGUCAGUGUUCCUUCCUUGGAUUUAACAAUUUUAAUGCUUGUAUGUCUCUGUCACACAGAAGGAUAUGCAACUAUCAAUGUGUCUUUCAGCAAGUUUUGUGAUCCUGUGAGCAGAUCACUACUCAGUGACAAGCACAAGAUUGCCAGGUUUCACAGUGCUGUGUGUUCAACUUCAAUAAUGAGGCUGCACAAGAGGUCGGGGUCAAAACAUGCAGUUUCUUCCUUGUUUCGGUCCUUACUGUCUGUAUGUCCUUGUAAAUAACUGUCAUUUUGCUUAAUUUCUAGGGACACAGAGCUGGCUUCUGAUAAUAAAAUCUACUUCAGCCCAUCAAAGCUGAUUUUAUUGCUGUUCUUUCAGAAGGAAAUUUAUACCGCCUCUUAGGUCAAAGAUUACUGAAGGCCUUUUGCUUUUACGAAAACCAUGUGACUACAAGAAAAGCAAUAAUAUAUUUUUUAAUUUUUUUUUCUAGUUUUAAAUUUUAAAGGUAGAGAAAGAGAAAAGAACAUAUUUAUUUUUAAAAUAACAAAGUUUUCUAUCUAAUGGUCACAGUGUUUCAUGUUUAGUGCUAUUUAAUGACUGAGCCCUAUUAACAGCACUGAUUUUCUAGGCCCAUUUACAACAGUCAACCAGAUUGAACACUGUAGCUUGAAAGAGUUCUGACUUUCAUGCAAAGUGUACUUGAGGAUGCAAAGUUCUAGAGUUACCAUUAUUAAAUUCCGUAUUUUCCUUCUAGCAUGUAGUGACUUUGGAAAUACCUACAGGGACUGAACUGUUCCCCCCUCUACCUCUGUCUUCUGUAUCAACAGCCACCAUGAAACAUACUUCUCUUCUAGCCAAAGUGUGACAAAGAAUUAGUGCUACAAUGGCCAUAGUAGUGAAGCUGUGUACAAGUUUUGGAUGGGCAAAAGUAGGCCUCAGUUGCAUGCAUAUUUUGUCCAAGAAAAGGGUUCAGAAAAAAAA